rnacentral:lncRNA from 1 species
AGGAGAUAGAAAAGGCUGAGGAGGUAGAAAAGGCUGAGGAGAUAGAAAAGGCUGAGGAGGUCGAGAAGGCUGAGGAUGAAGAAAAGGCGGAGGAGGAAGAAAAGGCGGUGGAGGUAGAAAAGGCGGUGGAGGUAGAAAAAGCGGUGGAUGAAGAAAUGGCAGAUGAUGAAGAAAAGGUGGAGGAGGUAGAAAAGGCGGUGGAUGAAGAAAUGGCAGAGGAUGAAGAAAAGGCGGAGGUUGAAGAAAAGGCGGAUGAUGAAAAGAAGGUGGAGGAUGAAGAAAAGAAGGCAGAGGAUGAAAAGAAGGCGGAGGAUGGAAAGAAGGCAGAGGUUGAAGAAAAGGCUGAGGUUGA